AACCUUGAAAAAUCUACAGAUGGUGAGAAAGCUGAGCAAGAUAAAUGCUCUCUCCUCUCUUGUUGCUGAACAUUACAUAUUUGUUCUCUUUUCUGCCCAGAUUCAGGGACUGCAACAUUUAAAAUCUCACUAAAUGCGGGUGUGCGUCUCAAGCAGCACACGAAAGAGAAGGACACGAGCCUUGAAAUGAUCAAAAAAAUGAGAAGCUUUGGGAAAGAGUAGUAGAGAUAAAACCUAAGAGGAAGCUGAGGAAAAACAAUAAAGUGACUCUGCAGGAGUAGAGUGACAAUUUACUCAGGAAGUUUAAGACACGUGGACUUUGGUGCGUGUAAGCCCACCAUGUGCCAGGAAGCCAAGCUACCCCUGGGUGUUUCAUCCUGACGGAGCCAUGGAGCAGAGGCUUCCUGAAAACAAGAAAGAAAAUCAGUAGAGAAUGUUGGGACAUCGUGAUGCCAUUACCAGCCAUUGCUUUGGAAAGAACCUGUCAGAAACACCAACAUAUUCCAGCUGGAACCCAGAGGACAGGAAAGCCACAAGCCUGCCUGAAUUCCCACUGACUCACAGUCACAGAAGUUCAGAAAACUAAGUUUGACAGACUGCUGCUGUCCUAUUAAAUCAACUUUAACUCCCAUUUAUGGGCAGGAAGAAGAAAACUCUGCCUGAGACCUUAUGUUGCUACUGAAACCAGAUUUCUGUUUCUUUCAAGACAAGAAAAUGCAAAUACCAAGAUGGAGGAAAGUGAAUAAAAUUUUGACUUCUG